rnacentral:tRNA from 1 species
AGGCCCGUAGCUCUAACGGUAGAGCGCCUGUCUCCAAAACAGGAUGUUGGGGGUUCGAAUCCCUCCGGGCCUGCCA